GGGGUUGUAGCUCAGUGUUAGAGCACUUGCCUAGCAUGCAAGAGGCCCUGGUUUCCGUCCCCA
rnacentral:tRNA from 1 species